GGGUCAGUAGGUUGGUCGUGCCACCGGUACGUACUGGUCUCACUGAUUCCCCCUUCCUGAAGAACCGUAAUGCCAUUAAUUUGGUGGUGCGGGGAAACAGGACUGUUACUUUGAAAAAAUUAGAGUGUUUAAAGCAAGCUAACGCUUGAAUACAUUAGCAUGGAAUAAUGAAAUAGGACGAUCGAUCCUAUUUUGUUGGUUUCUAGGAUUGACGUA
rnacentral:rRNA from 1 species